AACCCAUGAUGAGGGCACCUUCUCAAUAGAUCCUUGUAUCUCUCCCAUGCAUCAUAUAACAUCUGUAAAUCAAUCUGGGUGAAGGAAGAAAUAACAUUCCUUAACUU
rfam:Gossypium raimondii chromosome 2, whole genome shotgun sequence.